AUGACCUGCCGCCCUCUUUCCCCAUUCUCUCAGUUUUCUUUCAAUUAUGCAAACCCCAUCUAUCCAAAACCAUGGAUAAAUUUGUGCAAGGUCACCUAAAUAAAACCAAAUCACCCCUUUUGUCCCCCUCAAUUCGUGAAUCCCGCCGGAUUCUUUAUAUUUUCACCACCCUAAUUCAAAUUCCCAAAUCUCCGAAACCCUAGACCUAAAAUGUAAAAAUGAGAAUACCAUCCUUUUUCCGUUCCUUCAAAUCAAGCAUGCAUGGCCAUCGAUCUUCAAUCUCAUCAUCAUUAUUCAUUGUCCAAAGGUGAAACACAAUGACCUCUAGACAUGGAGCUCUUACCGAUUGUCCUUCACUCUUAAAACGGUCGACUCCUCCUCCAUUAUCAUGCUAAUAUAAAUUCCUACUGUUUUUUCCCUCUCUUCUCUUCUGAUUUUCCCCUUCUUGCUAUCAUUAUAUAUCAAUCGUCAUUCUCCACUAUCUAUUGAACUCAAACGGAACCCUAGUGACUUGAAUGCCACUAUAAACAGAGCAUUGAAUACUCACACCUAAUACACCUAACAACACUGGAAAAUACACUAAAAGUAAAGAAGAUCAUAAAAAUUUAAACUUUCUACUAAGCUUAAGUUCCAGUAGUACUUAUCUACUUUUCCUUUUUCUUACUUUCAUUUCUAUUCAAGUUCAGGCACUGUGAGCUGAUCGUUGUGAGUUUGGGGUUCCUAGACGGCUACUAAUCUCAUUUGCUUGGUUUGUUAUUCCGCAGAAGGUCAGUGUAUACUGACCCCAUCUCUUUUAUUUUUUAAAUCAGUUAUACAAUUUUAUGUUUAUGUUGUUUACCUAAUAAUCUCCUGUUUGUUCAUGAUAAUGUGUGGUUUUUCUUGUUAUAACCUAAUAUUCAUGUCACUGUGUAAUUUGAAUGUUAGUGUUUUUUUCCUGAUAAUUGUGUUGUCUUCAAUGGCUAUUGAACUUUACAUAUCAUGACUUAUUUAGUAAAAAUGCUUUCUUGUUGUUGUUACUCUUAUGGACAAAUCAUGUUGAUACUUUUAUGAUUAUCUAUCCCUGUUAGUUAAAUGAUGGCCAUCCUACCCUAGGAGCGCUUAUCGGACGGAUAAUUACCCUUAACGGUUCGGCUUAUCGAUUAUCAGAUUAUAAAUGUAGUAAUCUGCUAGCCAUCCAAUAAGACAAUGGGCAUAUUGAUAUUGGAUUAACGAUUAUCGGGUAAUUGUCGAGCGGUUUAUCGGCUAAGUCGAAUAGAAUUUUUUUGAACAAUCCUAGUCUUAUGAAUACCAAAUGGUCAAACCUGAUAAAGUGACUCGACUUCCUCGUUAGUAUGUACUACACUUUAGUUUACCAGGAUUGUUAACAUUUAUUGCGAUAUGAUAGAAUCUAUUAACACUUUGUAGUUUAUACUGCACUAAUGCACUUAUUAUAAGUAUUUCUUUUGGUUGCAUAGCUAAUUGUUUCAUGUCAAAAAAAAAAAGAAAGACUGAAAAUUGGUCAAACUGAUUGAAAACGUAUAUACAAUCAAGCAUGUACAUCUAGGUGGUGUGUUUAUAUAUAAAUCCGUUUGAAGUCUUAAGAGGAAGUAGAUCCAUAUAAAGUUAAUAGGCAUAAUUAAAGAUAUAUAUAUGUUAGUGGGGGUAUAAUUUGCCAUAUGACGAUGGAUUGGCCUCAUCAAUCAAAGCUGCAUAGUUCACUGGCUUUUAUACCUUUCCAUUGUGGGACUCCAUAUGAGGACUUCCAUUGUUCUUGAUUUCACUAGUUGGUUUGGUGAUUAGAUUACUCUUAAUUGGUCCUUUACAUGUGUUACCCCCAUGAAGCUAGUGUCCAGGAUCAUCAAUUCAUCAGUCCGAAGCAACAACCAAAGCUAAAGGAUGUCAGACAAGUCAUGUGGCGAAAAGUCAGUUAGGGUUUCAAUAGUACUUUAUAUAUAUAGGGGUAAAAGUGUAAAUAUAAAAAUUCUUAACGGGUUAACGGUUUAUCCAAUAAUAAAAUUGAGUAACCCGCCCCAAACCGUUAAGCCGUUAAUUAUAAAAUCUCAAUCUAUUUACCAACUAUUACCCCGAUAAUCCGAUACCAAUAAGCCAAUUAGCCAUCGAUUCGGUUUGGUUAACGGUUACGGUUCAAUUUUGAACAACCCUAUCCUACCCUAUUAGCUAAAUCGAUUGUGUUAUAUUUUUAAGCUUUCUCCUGAUAUUCUAUUAAGAACUCACACCUUCUGCACUGUGCUAUCUUGAUCCUUAUGCCUAUGAUAUCAUACUGCAUUGUUUCAGUUCAAUAAAAUGAUUCUCACCACUAUUCACACUCUCAUGUUGAUCUAUUUGACUCCAAAUUGAUAACUUGUUUAUGAUAUACUGUGAUAAAAUGAUUCAUGAGUUUAUUGUGGUGGUCUGAAAUAAAAUAAAUCAUAUAAUGAAACUUGUUGGUCUACUCACAUAUCUGGAUGCAACUUGUUAGGAUCAAUUAUGCAAUGAGUGUCACUAUUUUACUAUCUCAUGACUGUUUGAGCUUUGUGAUUGUAGCUAUGUGUCAUCUAUAUUGCUGUAUUGGGUCAAUGAUACCUAUUUGACUUUUUCACCUAUGUCUACACUUAUCUUGUUGUUUCUACUGAUCCAGUAGUGUUCAGGAACUAUUGCAUGCCUUUAUCUGGAAAAAAAAAAUGGUUUGCAUGUUAUCAUGAUAAUCUAAUGAAGGUGUGGGUACAUCAUAACCUAGGGGUACCACAGUAGUCCUACUUGUCCAUUUAAAAUGAUGUUCUACAUUCAUAUACCUGUUUGGUUUUGGCCUUUUAUGUUUGGUUCUUUCAUGAUCAUGUGAUGUCUGAGACAUUAUUUGGGAAGACUUCCCUUGUCAAUUUGAGUAAUUGCUUACUUUGGUAACCUAAUAGCUUGACUGAAUGUUGUUGAACAUGUACUAUGCCCGUAGGAUCUAAAAUGGAAUUUUUGUUGGUGUAACCUAUUAGUAAAAUUACUUACAUGUUUAAGUCAACUUGUUAUGAUAUGUUUGUCAUGCUUUAACAAAGUGAGAAUGAAUAUCUCUACUUACUGUCUCAUGUCUGUUUGACAUCACUAUGUAUAGAAGAACUUAAUCAUGAAUCUAAGUGCUAUUUGGGUCUCGCAAUUUGAAAACUUAUUAGACUUUACACUGUCACAACUAUAUAUCAUGCCCAUUAGGUAUGAAGAAAAUUAAAAUUAUCUUUCCCAUGUAUUUUGAUGUCUCUGCUGAUCUGAUUGGUUGGCAUAUUCUUUGGGAAGUCUGGGUGAAGUUAUUAGCCUAAGUGUUUAAUGAUGUGAGGUAUUCGUUGGACGUAUGCUUGCUCUGCUCUGUGCUGAAACUAUUAGGAUACCUGUGAAUUGUUCUUGUGACCUAAACCUACUUAAGGGAGUUCUGAAGCAUUGAGCCUUUAGUAGAAUCAAUGGAACAAAAGCAUGUUCCCAUCUCUAUAAGUUACUAAUAAUUUAGAUUGCCUAAUAACACUUCUGAGCUUGGAGUUAUAAGUAAUAAAGCAUGUCUGUUUGCAAUCAAUUACCUGUGUUUGUGAUUCUGCCUGAGUAUGUCCUAGCAGUGACUCUAUACAUAUUGUGAUGUCUUAGGGCCCUUGACAUUGUUGUCACUUUAAUAAUCCACAUGUGAUGCCAUGUCUCUAUACUCAUUCUGAUAUAAGUGUUCCCAGGUUGAUGUUGUGUUGAUUAUGAGUUACUCAUGCCUUUGUACUAUGAAGAUACUUGUGAUAUCUUAUAUAACUGUUUGUUAUUGAUACCUCUGUGUGGAGGAACCUUUUGCAUUUGACCUUUUAUAUUAUGUACUAAUUGAAACUGGUAAGUUGCCACUUUGUUUGUGUCCAAGCCUUUGAGGAAGAGUAAAAGUUGAUGACCAAAGAUAUUUUGGUGUGAGCUUGAUUUAUGGUUGAGGUAUCCCUCCCCGGUACAAGCACUGCUCAGGGUCCAUGAGACCACUGUGAAUUCUAAAGUAUCAAGUGUCCAUAGGGAGAUUUCAUCUAUAAAUAUGGUUCACUCUAAGUCCUUGGUCACUAACUUUAAUUAAUCCUCAUAGGGUUAGCACAAAUAAAAAAGGCUUUACUGUGUUCCUUAGCUCUUUAUUAUUAUUAAUUUUUAAAUUUUGUCUUACCUUAUCUUAUCUCGACAUACACUAAUUAUUUCCUUGUUUUGUUUUUAUGCAUAUUCGAAUUGGCCGUGCUGAGUCCAUUUAGAGCUCAGGCCCAAGUUCAGGAUCCAGGCCAUUUCCUCUUCACCUGCUGAGUCCAUCGUUGAUACCGCUGGGCCUGGUUUUCUUACCGACCCGAUCAUUAAGAGUCCAACUCUCUUUUAUUUUACCCUUAAGUGAUAGUCAUUAUUAUUUGCUACUUUAUAUAUAUCUUUGGAACUAACCUUAUCAUUGAAUAAUCUUUUGAUAUCUUGAUUGUUUAGGAAACAUAGGUAAAUCAAGACUUAUAGAUUCGAAAACAAAAGCAAAGUUCCCUUGGAAAAACAUCAAGUGGAUCACGUAUAAUACAAAUAACAGUUUCAAAAAGAAAUAAAAGCACCCAUAUAACUGGGGUUGCAAGAAACAACAAACAAGUUUGAAAAUGCAAAGGCCUUCUACCAAAGCAGUUUUCUAAAACAAACAAGGUAUAUCCGUUUCCACCAAAAACAUAUUUUUUUCAAGGUAAUCGUUUGUUCUAUAAGUUAUCAAGUCUCACAAACAUAUAUCACACUUUUAAAAGGAAAUACACGACCUUUUACCAAAAAAUAAGUUUUCAAACAAGACCUAAAAUAUUUUUCAUAAAUCUUACUUAGAAACUUUAACCACUAAGCAACCAGAAUAUAGACCUUUCUUUUCCCAAACCUAGCCUAAGUUUAAGGAACUACCUUAGGUAGAUUUUAAGGGAUGCCUAACCCCUUCCCCUUAGAAUAACUAGAAACCUUAUCUAAAUCUCACCAGUUAGCAGACCAUUAGGAUACUAAUUAUCAUAGACUUAUAGGUACCCUAGUAUACCUUAAAUAUUAGGUGGCGACUCUCUUUUAUCAACUUUGAAGAAUCAUUAGUUGUAUUUUGUUUUGACCUGUGCAAAGUAAGGUGCAUCAACAUGGUGACUCCACUAGGGAUUUACACUUAGGUUCUGACCUUAGCGGACUUAGGCUAGACUUGAACUUUGGGAUUUUUGUUAUAAUCUGCUUUAAUUACAUUUAACCAUCAAAUAUUUGUUUACUCAUUUUAUCCUAUUUGUUUACACUUUAUAUGAAUUUAUAAAUAUGUUUAUCUAUCUGUUGCUAAUAUUCAUAAUUAUUUAUUAUUGCUUUAUACACUAUCAUCAUAUUUUUCCAAUCGAGUCUUGACUGUACACAAUCACACACAAUCUCACACAAGGGUUGUCUUUUCACCCAUCUAAAACCUUUUUUCAAAACUCUAUAGUUUCAGAGAAUGACCUUGUCAAGCCAACUGACAUAACGUCUCCCAGUUAUUCAAUCCAAAUCCAAAAUUUAGGAAACACUCUACUCCUAGUGACAUAGGUCAUGCUGCAUAAACCCUAGGUGGGUCGAUCCUUGGUAUUGACUCACAAUUAGGAAAAUCCACCGUAAUGUCAACAUGUUAUUCACCCAACGACAUGCCCUCUAUGGAAUGACAAAUCAAUCCAAAUAAGACACUAAGGAUUUAGAGCAAAAAUACUUACCAAGCCUUUUACCCCUUUUAGAUGGAAAUCAACCGCAACGUCCCGAAAAUAAGCAUGGUCAUGGGAGAACCUCACAAAUUGAAGCAGUAGUGGAGGAAUAACCUACGAGAACACGGAGAUAAAAUCAGAACGCAUCUGGGAGCACUGACUGCACUAAUGAACAUCCGAGCGGACAGGGUACUCACCAAGUUAUUGAUAGAGUUAUGGGACCCAACCAAGGUGGUCUUUAAGUUUGUUGAUUGUGAGCUGACACCAACACUCGAGGAAGUUACCAGUUUCACUGAGUUACCAUCCGCCAGAUGGAAUCCUAUACUGUCGGUCAUCAUGUCAGGCCAUAGGUUCCUCCACGCACAGGGCUUGAGGAGCAACAAGAACUUGAGAAAUAUCGAGGAUGGAUGGAUGAGCCUGGACCUGUUAUUUGACAUAUUUUGGCAUCGGGAGGGCUAUGAUUUGCAUCUUUAGUAAUUCCAGUGUGAUCAAGCGACAUGGGAGAGCCUUCUCCCCCUCACCUUUUCUCUAACAUUGUUAGGACUUCUAGUUUUCCUACAAAGGAAGGGGCAUAUCAAUAUCAAAAGAAGGCUCCAGGAUGAGUGGAAUGACCAGAUCACAAUGGGUAUAGGGCAAAACUCAUGGUGCACGCCCGAGUAUUUUGUGUGGAUCAAUGAAGAAGAUGAAUUGGCCAGGCUCAGUAGGGAGGGAUUAGCUGGAUUAGAGAACUCAGUAGCAGCCUUACAGAUAUACCACGAGAUCCUGCCUCACUAUCUUGUCACCACUACCAUGCAUAAACAUUUAGUUCUGGGAUCAGUCGACCAUAUGCUACCGCUACUGGAUGAUGACAACCAGAUAAUUGAAUACAUACAGAUCGAGUCUGAGAUAGAACCAAAGGAGGAUCUAGAAAAGAAACCAUAGUACAACCAUGAUGAGGAUGGGAGGAGGUUGAAGAGGAUGUUUAGGAAGAUCCAGAAGAAGAGAGUUUGGGAGGAGACUCCGAGGACGACUAUUAAAUUGUUGGUUGAUUUCCUUCUUGUACCUUUCAUUCCCUAUGGAAGAUUCUAUAAGCCCAUGCAACCUUUGUAAACCAAAGAAAACCAUAUUGUAGCCAGCAAAAAUUGUCCUCCCAUCUUUAUAUCAGUAAUGAAGCCUUGUUACCCACUCGUAACUAGCAAAUUGCAUCAAUGAAAAAUUAAGUUUGCUACGGAUCCUAAUGUGUCAAAAUCUGUUUGUUUGUCAUAAGCUCGCGAUAUAGGCCUACUUUCAACAAAGAGAGGUCCUUAAAUAUUUUAGGAACGUGCUUGUUUGAAUAUGUGGACUAACUGCUCUAUGUGAUUAUAUCUAUGCAAUCCCUGAAACUAACUUUUAUUUUCUUUUCUUUCCUGCUUUAUUGCUUUAUUUAUUUAUCCCUGAAACAUAGGUUGAUUUGUGUUGAUAUAUAAACUACCCGAGCCACUAUAUAACCUAAGGUCCAAAAGGAAGAUCACUACUAUAGAUGACUUGACUAGAAAUGCUUUGGUGGUCGCCGAUAACCCAGGGGGAUCAAAGGGAAGGGAUGAAAUUCGGAAUGACAAAUGGAACAAGAGAUGGAGUCAUUAAUGAAGGAGGUACAACAAAUCUGGGAGUUGGCACACCUGGACAUGCCGACGCUUCCACAACCACAUCCUUUUCCAUCACUAGAUUCAAUCCCCGACCACUUUUCUUCAUCAACCUGACAACCUACUAAAAUCCUGACUACUAUCACCACAAACCCCGCCAUUACUCAAGUCAUACCGCAGUGAUACCUGCAAAUGCACCAAACCCUCAUAUACAUACACAUUAUGUUCCCAAUUAUGCUCAAGCUCCACAAAUUCUGCCGACUACGACCAAUUUGAUCCAAACCCCUCCUCAUGACAAUGUCACUUUCCCUAACAACCACACACAGUAUAUACCUAUGGCACACACCGCCACCCAUGAGCGGUAUGUUCCACCCAUAUAUAGCGCAUCUGAGCCUACUUUUACCGUGCCCAUCACGGUCAGAAUUACCUUAUGAGAUAGAGCAAUAUGGUGAAAUGGAAAGAGAGGGAAAGUCCAAAGAGGAUGAAUCAUUGUCUGAAAAACUACUGGUACUAAGGAUACAAAUGAAGAACCUGCAAGUUGCUCGAGGGAGCAAGAUCUUGGAUUUUGAAGACCUAUGCAUACACCCUGAUGUUGAUAUGCCAACAGGGUACAAGCCCCCGAAGUUUGAUAUCUUUGAUAGAACAGGUGAUCCCCACGCUCACUUGAGGGCGUACUAUGACAAGUUGGUGGCAGUAGGAAGAAAUGAGAAGUUGAGGAUGAAACUGUUUAUAAGAAGUCUGACUGGGGAAGCACUCACUUGGUACCUAGGCAGGACCCCAUGAACUGGAAAGAAUUGUAAGAUAUGGUUGAAGAUUUUAUGAAUCGCUUCAGAUUUAACACUGAAAUCACCCCAGAUAGGUUCUCUUUGGUAAACCUAUAGAAGAAGCCCUCUGAGUCAUUUCAAGUAUAUGCUCGUCGUUGGAGGUCAGAGGCAGCUAGAGUACAAUCUGCGCUGGACGAUAACGAGCUGACCAAAUAUUUUAUCCAUGCUCAAGAAGGAAUCUACUUCGAAAAGAUGAUGGGAAUGAUGGGCCAGAAGUUCCCCGAGCUAGUCAAGAUGGGAGAUUUCCAGGAAGAAGGUAUUAAGUCAGGGAAGAUACAGCCAGUGGCCACGCUACAAGCUACUAGUAAGGCUAUAUAGUCCGGUUCUAUCGGUAGUGGAAAGAAGAAGAUAGAAGAGGUGACGACAAGUGUUCCCAAUUAUCAACAAAGUCCUCCUCGUUGAACCAAUGCCUACCCCGCAAACACUGAUCCUCCAAACCAACCCACUUAUACCCUAGUAUUUAACGCCCAACCAUACUACAAUACCCUACCCCACUACAACCCACACAGAGCCAAUAUACACCUAAAAUCACCAUGACCAUAUGCUCCCGUUCAAACCACCACCCACCACAAUAGACCCGCAUAUGCUCCCAAACUACGUCCAAACUUUGAAGCAAGAAACCCUAGAAAUUUCACUCCAAUUGCUGAGCCUUUAGCCCAAUUAUUUGACAGGAUGAGAAGAGCCGGACUGAUAUACCCGGUGGAGGGAAGAAUCCCUGACCAAUCCACCAAACAUUUCGACGCAAGCAAUGCACCUCCUCAGGCACGACAUCGAGGAUUGUUAUGGUUUAAAGAAUGAGAUUUAAAAUGCUGAUUAAGAGUGGAGGUAUCCAAUGCACCCCAGCUCCACCGAAUGUAAGCCAUAACCCACUACCAAACCACAGAAACCAAAGAGCCAACACGAUUACCUUGGAGAAAGACUAUGAAUUAAAAGGGACUAUUACCGAAGCAACAAGGACACCUCCUUGGGCAACUCCAUUGAUCACCGUAUAACUAAAACCCCCUAUGAUGGUUCAAACAUACCAACAACGGCCCGUCGUAGCCAUUAGAGAUGAAGGGAAUCAAGAGUAUAAAGAAGUUUUGUGGACUUAUUAGUCAAAAGGAAAAGGCAAGAUGACAGAUACAGUAACCGCUUGUGGUAUGACUAGGUUUGGAAAGGGCUACACUCUAGAAGAAGUGAAUUGACGAAAUCCGAAUAGGGAAUAGAAUUAGAGGAGAAACAUAAAUGAUGUAGAGGCAAAAGCGUUCUGGAGGAAGAUGCCAGUUAUAGAAUACUCUAUAGAAGAGCAACGGAGGAAGACCCCUGCCCACAUAUCAAUUAUGGACAUGUUGAUGAGUUCCGAUAGUCACAGGGAAGCUCUGGUAAAGGUGCUAAGUAGGGUGAGUGUGCCAGACAAUACCACCAGCGAGAUACUAGGAGCAACUAUUGGGAAGAUGGUGGAUGCGAACAAGAUUUCCUUUUGGAAAGAUAAACUUCCUAUGGAGGGAAUGGAUCACAACAAGUGUCUACAUAUCACUUUCAAGUGUGGAGACAAAGUCGUAUCUCGAGUACUUGUCGAUGGGGGAUCUGGAGUAAACAUUUGUUUGUUCUCCAUGUUGCAGGAAUUAGGCAUCCAUUUGAGGGAAGUAAAAGAAAGCCAUGUGAGAGUGAAGACUUUUGAUGGGUCACAAAAAGAUGUCAUCGGUGAAAUCUACAUAGCCUUGCAAAUUAGACCAGCUGAGUUCCCGAUAUUGUUUAGGUGUUGGACAUCUCGUCUUCAUACAAUCUGCAACUAGGAAGGCCUUGGAUACACAUGGCAGGGGCAAUUCCUUGCACUUUCCAUCAGUGUAUGAAAUUCAAAUGGUAUUUCCAGGAAAUUGUGAUACAUGGGGAAUGGAGCCGGUCAGCUUAUUUGGAACACGUGGUUCCUUUUAUAGAAGGAUUGGAUGGGAUUACUUUCCAUGCAGUCGAGAUCAUGCAUGCAACAGAAAUAGGGAAGAGUGAACAAGGUCACAAGAUGAAAUCAGCAUAUGGGUACAUACCAGGAUACGAGUUUUGAGCCCAGUCAGAUGGGAUAACUGAGCCAAUUCAACCUAAGGGGAAAACCUACAACUAGAAGAACCUACAAUGGUAACCUUGGGAAGAAGGUUUUCGUACUAGAGCAUGUUCUAGGCACGGGUUAGAGCUUAACACAAGAAGAGGAUAUUAUCGACGGGAUGUGAAGAUUGUUCAUGUCAAGACACCAACAAUUCGGGAUGCCGAACUAGAAGAGACCUUGUAGAACUGGACAGCCAAUACAUCUCUAGUUCAUCAGGAGUCUUGGUAGUGCGAAUUGUAGUAAUUUUGAAAACUGCAUGGUUAAUUAAGGCUUGAACUAUGCCUGUGCUUUUUUGUUAAAUCGCUUCUUUGAACACUAAGACAUUCCUUUUGAUGAAAUAAAAGAAUUAUUUUCUUGAAAAUCAUUGCAAAUCUAUAUGUCUUUAUUCAAACUCAAUUUUUCAUUUCAACAAUCAAAUUAAUAAAAAAUCAUGUUCCGCGAUUAUGACAUGUAACAAAACCUUCGAGCAAAAUAAUCCGGACUACGAAAAGUACGACGAGAGUAUGAUGCCCGAGAAUCUACCGCAAGAAAUCGAACAGCUAGAAAGUCAGAAGAAGCCUAACCUCGAGGAAUCAGAGGUAAUCAAUCUGGGAAGUAAAGAAAAUGUCAAAGAAAUCUGAAUCAGCAUCCACCUGAAGGUAGAACAGAAGGAAAACUUGGUAAAGCUCCUCCGACAAUACAUCGAUGUAUUUGCCUAGUCGUAUGACGACAUACCUGGAUUAAGUAUUGACAUCGUCUCGCAUAGAUUGCCCACCGAUCCUGCCAAGCCACCAUUCAAGAAGAAACCUAGAAAAUUCAAGCCAGAUUUGUGUCUAAGGAUCAAAGAAGAAGUCACCAAACAGAUAGAAGCAAAUGUGGUAAGGGUCACCAAUUACCCUACCUGGUUGGCGAACAUCGUACUAGUGCCAAAGAAGGACGGGAUGAUUAGGAUAUGCAUGGAUUACCAAGAUCUCAACAAAGACAGUCCCAAGGACGACUUUCCUUUACCAAAUAUCCAUAUUUUUAUUGACAAUUAUGCAAAACAUGAAUUGGAAUCAUUCGUGGACUGUAUUGCUGGAUAUCACCAGAUUCUAAUGCAUGAAGAGGAUGCAGAGAAUACAACAUUCACCAUUCCAUGGGGAGUAUAUUGCUACAAGGUCAUGCCAUUCUAUAUCAAGAAUGCCGGUGCCACCUACAUGAAGGCCAUGAUGACCUAUUUUCAUGACAUGAUCCAUAAAGAGAUUGAAGUAUAUGUGAACGACGUCAUCAUCAAAUCACGUAACAAUGCAGAUUAUUUUAGCAGUUUGAGUAAGUUCUUCAAAUGGUUGUGAAGGUACAAUUUGAAGCUGAAUCCUACGAAGUGUGCAUUUGGAGUUCCCGAAUAAUUUGAAGUUGAAUCUUGCAAAGUGUGCAUUUGGAGUUCUCGCGGGAAAACUAUUAGGUUUCAUUGCCAUCAGAAAGGGGAUAGAGUUAGACUCCUCGAAGAUCAAGGACAUUCAAGACUUUCUUCCUACCAAAAGCAAGAAGUACAUGAUGAGCUUCCUCGGAAGAUUGAAUUACAUCAGCAGUUUCAUAGCCCAAUCAACAGUAAUCUGUGAACCGAUUUUCAAGUUAUUGAAGAAAGAUGCCGCUAUGAAGACUAUCAGAAAGCUUUCGACAAAAUCACAGAAUAUUUGUUGAGUCCACCAGUACUGGUUCCUUCGGAACCUGGGAAGCCGCUGCUACUAUACUUGUCCGUCUUGGAUAAUGCAUUCGGAUGCGUUUUGGGACAACACAACGAGACUAGAAAGAGGGAGCAAGCUAUAUACUACAUGAGUAAGAAGCUCACACCAUAUGAAGCCAGAUAUACCUUGUUUGAGCGAACCUGUUGUGCUUUAACUUGGAUCGCUCAAACUUUAAGACGUUACUUGUCGGCAUAUACCACAUAUUUAAUAUCCAGGUUCGACCCGCUCAAGUACAUCUUUUAGAAGCCGAUGCCUACAGAAAAGUUAGCCAAAUGGCAGAUUCUUCUCAGUGAGUUUGACAUCGUGUACAUGACACAUAAAGCUAUCAAGGGACAAGCAUUGGCCGAUCAUCUCACAGAAAACCCGGUGGAUAAGGACUAUAAUCCACUUACCACAUAUUUCAUAUAUGAAGAGGUGCUAUUCACUGGGGAAGAUAAUUCAAAGUCAUACUCAAGGUAGAGGAUGUUUUUCGAUGGAGCUGCAAAUUUCAAAGGAGUAGAAAUUGGGGCAGUCUUAAUCUCCGAAUCAGGACAACAUUAUCCGAACGCAGCUAAGAUAAGGUUCCCCUGUACAAAUAAUAUGACAGAAUACGAGGCGUGCAUCCUUGGGAUUAGGAUGGCAGUCGACAUGAACGUUAAGGAACUUUUGGUCAUAGGGGUUCUGAUUUGAUGAUCCACCAAGUUCAGGGAGAAUGGAUCACUAAGAAUAUCAAGAUCCUUCCAUACAUGCAUUGUGUAAGGGAAUUAUGCAAGAAGUUUACCAAGAUCGAGUUCAAGCACGUUCCCAUAAUCCAUAAUGAGUUCAUAGAUGCUCUCGCAACUUUGUCAUCCAUGAUUUAACACCCGAACAAGAAUUGCACCGACCCCGUCGAGAUAGAGAUUCAAGACCAGCAUGCAUAUUGUUUCCACAUAGAGAAGAGAUAGAUGGAAAGCCUUGGUACCAUGGCAUCAAAAGAUUCCUCGAGGAAAGAGAGUAUCCAUAGAGUACUACUAAUGGUCAAAAGCGAGCAUUGAGGAGACUAGCAAAUCACUUCUUCCUUAACAGGGAAGUCCUCUACGGGAGGACCCCGGACUUGGCUAUGUUAAGGUGUGUAGAUGCUACUGAAGCAAUAAGAUUAUUAGAAGAAAUACAUGCAGGAACAUGCAGGCCUCACAUGAACGGUUUCACUCUAGCCAAAAAGAUUCCGAGGGACGGAUACUUUUGGAUGACUAUGGAAAGGGACAACAUUCAAUACGUACAGAAGUGUCACUAGUGUCAAAUUCACGGGAAUUUCAUCCGGGUUCCGCCAAAUGAGCUAAACAUAAUAGGUUCUCCUUGGCCGUUCUUCGCUGGGGCAUGAAUGUAAUCGGACCUAUAGACCCAGCCACAUUAAAUGGGCAUCAUUUCAUUUUGGUAGCCAUCGAUUACUUCACUAAAUGAAUCCAAUCUUCCACAUACAAGGCUGUCACAAAGAAGGUGGUGGAAGAUUUCAUCCAUAACAACAUAGUCUUCCGAAUUGGGAUCCUAGAGUCAAUCAUAACUGACAAUACAACCAAUCUCAAUAGCGAUCUCAUAAGGGAAAUUUGCGAGUAGUUCAAAAUCAUCCAUCAUAAUUUCAUAGCAUACAGGCCGCAGAUGAUUGGAGAAGUUGAAGCAGUCAAAAAAAACAUCAAAAUGAUCUUGCAAAAGAUAGUAGACAAUCACAUGCAAUGGCAUGAGAAAUUAUCAUUUUCCCUGCUUGGUUACCGCACUACUAUGAGGACAUCUACUGGGGCAACGACAUACAUGUUGGUAUAUGGAACAGAACCUGUAAUUCCCGCGGAGGUCUAGAUACAAUCUUUGAGAAUCAUAUAGGAAGCCAAGUUAGAUGAUCCAGAGUGGAUACGUGUUAGAAAAGAACAACUUAUGCUCAUCGAUAAAAAGAGGAUAGACACAGUGUGUCAUGGUCAGCUGUAUCAAAAUAGGAUGGACAAUGUAUUCAAUAGGAAAGUGAAACCUUGGCAAUUCACACAGAGGUAGUUGGUUUUGAAUAAAAUAUUCCCCCAUCAAGAAGAAGCAAAAGGGAAGUUCGCGCCAAAUUGGCAGGGUCCUUAUGUGGUUCACCGAGUAUUGUCAGGAGAAGCACAAAUCCUAGCAGAAAUGGAAGACAGAGUAAGUAUGAAGCUCAUCAAUUUAGAUGCAAUCAAGAGAUACUAUAUUUAAAGACAAUAGAGUUAGGUUUAUUGAAACAGAAAUACGCUCGACCUGACUUCCCAUGGUAGGAUACGUAGGCAACCCGCGUAGAGCCCAAUCCCACUCUUGUAAUAGAAAGCCAAAAGAUGUUUUCCAUGUAUUCGGAACUGCACUAUGACUUGAUUUCCUUUGGAAGGAAUACGUAGGCAAUCCAUAUCGAAUUCAUCCAUUUAUUGUAAUCGAACUACGUUUUUACCUAAUUCCAUUUGGAUACGUAGGCUGUGUGAGUCAGACUCGGCCAUAUAAUUUCAAAAUUCUAUCAUUCUGCAUAUAUUGUAAUCGAACUACAGUUUGGCCCGAUUCUAUUUGGAUACGUAGGCUGCCUGAGUCAGGUUCAAUCAUUUCAUCACUUCGUUAUUUCAUAUCCUCAAACUACGUUCAGACCUGAUUCUGUUUGGAUACGCAGGCAACAUGAAAAGGUUCGGUCAUAACCUUAGGAAAAGCCUCUAUAAUGCAUUGCCUAGAUUAGGAAGUAAAUACGUCAGCAGGAAACUGCGUCAUCAGGGGAAUAUCCAUAAAAACAACAUCAGCAAAGUCAAGCUAUCUAGAAACGAUACUCGCAUCAGAAGGGGCGACUAAACAUGUCAUAAUCCAGAAUGACAGCGUUUUCCAUAAACAUAAGUGAUUUUGCAAAAUAAUUUUUAAGAAAAUUCUACUUUUCCACCUAUCGAACUUCGUGGCAUAAUUCACUAGAUUCGGGGCAAGACCAGGUCCACAAUCAACACAAAUCAACGCUCCUCCCCUAAUAAGAAUUUUUCUUUGAGUGCAGGAUUGAAAGGAAUCAAGGGAUGCCAGAUCACACCGGAGUCAACACUAGACCCGCUACAACCUCAUGAGCCAUAUCUCACCUUUAUUAUUCAAUUCAUUUUUCAUAUAGCUAAGGACUAACUUUGAAUUCUUUGCAGGUAUCCCGGAACCAAGCCUCCGACGCCAUUGGAGCACCUUAUAUAUAUCGAACCGUCUGCUCUUCCCAUUGGAGCAUCUUAUACAUAUCAAACCGUCUGAUCCACCAAUCAGAGCACCUUGUACAUACCAAACUAACUGCCCCGCUAACCUAAGCGCUUUGUACAUACCGCAUCGUCUGCUCUACCAAUCAGAGUACUUUGUACAGAUUGCACCGUCACUCCGUCAAAUUGGAGAUACCAAAUAGAUCAUUGCAAACCUCAUCUCUAACUUCCCCAAUCGAAGGAUAGGCCAUGCAAUUUCAUCACACGUUCCGCCGUUCGAAGACCACAAUUCGUUCUGCAAUCAAGAGUACCUCUUGGCAUGCUCAUUUAUUUCUCUGCUUUUACCUUGAAUAUAUUGACGUUUAUUUAUGCAGCCUACAUGUAUUUUACCUUCAAAGUUAAAAUACUCUCAUCGCGUGGAGAUUUAAAUUCAAAGUCAAAUACUCCCAUUGCGAGGAGAUACUCCCAUCGCGUGGAGAUUCAAAUUCAAAGUCGAAUAUUCCUGUCGCAAGGAAAUUCAAUGCCGAAUACUCCCAUCGCGUGGAGAUUCAACUUCUUUGACAGCUGCGGAAUGGUACACAGCCCGGCUAAGAUUCAAGUUAGAUUCACACACCCAUCCCGACAUCCCAAAUAAUGCUCCAGAGCUCGGAGACUUCAGAUUCAGACAUCCCAUCGCCCAAAGAUCCCAAAUAACGGCUAGCCGGUAGCCAUGCAUUAUCAUUCCUGGAUAUUUACAUUAUAUUCUAACGUAUUUGUAUUAUUAUAUAUAGGUAUGUGUGUAUCAUCCUUUUUGCAGGUUCAAACACUACAAUGUGGAACUUCCUCUAAGCAGCAAACCAAGUUACACCGCUAUGAGGGACAACAAACUCAUAAGAGAGCCAAAGAUCAAAACAUGCCUAAAGUCAGGAAACAAUUGGUUAUUAAAUCAAUUUAUUUUCCCACAAGCUCUUUCAUCAUCUCUGGCCAAAGAGGGGCAGCUGUUAACUACCAAUUUUGACCCUCCCCUUUUAAAUUUAGUCGCUUACACUUAUUAAUCAAUAAUAUAUGUAGUAACAAAAUUUCAAAUUAAUAAUACCUAUUUUCUCAAAAUAUAAAUGGUAUGAUAAGUAUAAUAGUUGUUAGUAAUAUUAAUUCGGUAAUUAACAGUAAUUUAAUUUUAAUUAUUUAUUAUUUUACUACUCCUACUGCUUUAAUCAAUUAAAAUAACUUUUACAAUCUAAUAAACAAGUAUUACAAUUAAUUUAAUAAUUUAGUCCCAAAUUUGUAACUAUAUUAUCUUUAUUACUUUAACUAGCCGAAAUUAGUUUUUACAAUUUAAUAGAAAAAGUAUUCAAAUUAAUUUUGCUAACCAAUUAAUUACAGUAAUUAACUAAUAAUAUAUUUGAUAAUUAUAAUUGAUUACAUUUAAUUAGGAUUUAUUAAGUCUAAUUAAUUUGAUUAUAAAAGGGGUUAAAAUUCAAAAAGGCUACAAUUACAAUUGUUCAAUUAAAUUCAAUGUGGCUAUGAAUUAAAUUCAUACCCAGCUGAUUUAGCCCAAACCACAUGCCCAAAAUGCUUGACCCUUUCCAGAACCCACCUCCUCUGUCCAAGAUGGAAAUCCAUGCUGCCCCUUCUAAGCCAAUGGUAAUGCGCCACGCCAUCCCUUUCCAACACUCACAAAAGAAAUACAAAAUGAUCCGGAUCAUUGAUCCAAUUCAUCAACGGUCCAUAAUUAAUCUCUAUUUUUCUUUUAUUGUUAAACUUUUGCUGGAUCUCAUCUCAACUGUUGGAUCACAAAGAUCAAAAGAUCGUCGUUUUUUCCACAAUAAAUGCUUAUCAAUUUUUCUAAACUCCAAAAAAUUGGAGCCGUUGAUCAAAUGAUCCAACGACUCAUAUUGCAUCUCACUUUUAACCUAAGAGACACCACUAACGCUAAUCAUUCCUCCACAUGACACGCCGCCCUCUUUCCCCAUUCUCUUAGUUUUCUCUCAAUUCUACAAACCCCAUCAAUCCAAAACCUUGCACAAAUUUGUGCAAGGUCACCUAAAUCAAACCAAAUCACCCCUUUUGUCCCCUCAAUCCUCGAAUCCCACCGGAUUAUUUCCAUUUUCACAACUCUAAUUCAAAUUCCCAAAUCUCCGAAACCCUAGACCUAAAACGUUCAAAUGAGAAUACUAUUAUCCUUUAUCUGUUCCUUCAAAUCAAGCAUGCAUGACCAUCGAUCUUCAAUGUCAUCAUCAUUAUUCGUUGUCCAGAAGUCAAACGCAGUGACCUCUGGACAUGGAGCUCUGACCGAUGGUCCUUCACUCUUUAAACGGUCGACUCCUCCUCCAUUAUCAUGAUAACGAAAAUCUCCAUUAUUUUCCCCUCUGUUCUAUUCUAAUUUUCCACUUCUUGCUAUUAUCAUCUGUCAAUCGUCAUUCUCCACUAUCUAUUGAACUCAAACGGAACCCUAGUGACUUGAAUGCCACUAUGAAUAAAGCAUUGAAUACUCACACCUAACAUACCUAAAAACACCAGAAAAUACACUAAAAGUAAUGAAGAGCAUAAAAAUUCAAACUUUCUGCUAAGCUUAAGUUCUAGUAGUACUUAUCUAUUUUCUUAUUUUUCUUUCUUUCAUUUAUGUUCGAGUUCAACCACCGUGAGUUGAUCGUUGUGAGUUUGGGGUUCCUAGACGAUUACUAAUCUCAUUUGCUUGGUUUGUUGCUCCACAGAAGGUCGGUGUAUACUGAACCCCUCUCUUUUAUUUUUUAAAUUAGUUAUUCAAUAUUGUGUUUAUGUUGUUUACCCGAUAAUCACCUGUUUGUUCUUGAUAAUGUAUGGUUCUUCUUAUUAUAACCUGAUAUUCAUGUCACUAUGUUCUUUUAAUAUUAGUGGGUUUCCUGAUAAUUGUGUUGUCUUCAAUGGCUAUUGAACUUUACCUGUCAUGACUUAAUUAGUAAAAAUGCUUAUGCGCUAUUUUUACUCUUAUGAACAAAUCCUAUUGAACCUUUUAUGAUUAUCUGAGCCAAACCUUAUGUUGAUAUUAUGUGUGUUCUAUCCCUGUUAGUUAAAUGAUGGCCAUCCUACCCUGUUAGCUAAAUCGAUUGAGUUAUAUUUUUAAGCUUUCUCCUGAUAUCCUGUUAAGAUAUCACACCUGCUGCACUGUGCUAUCUUGAUCCUUAUGCUUAUGAUAUCAUGUAGCAUUGUUUUUGUUAAAUAAAAUGAAUCUUACCACUGUUCGCACUCUCAUGUUGAUCGUUUUGACUCCAAUUGAUAACUUGUUUAUGAUAAUGUGAUUAAAUGAUUCAUGUGUUUAUUGUGGUGGUCUGAAAUAAAAGAAAUCAUAUAAUGAACCUUGUUGGUCUGCUCACACAUCUGGAUGCAACUUGUUAGGACCAGUUAUGCAAUGAGUGUCACCGUUUUAGCAUCUCAUGACUGUUUUGGCUUUGUGAUAGUAUGUUUCAUCUAUAUUGUUGUAUUGGCUGAAUGAUACCUAUUUGACUUCUGCACCUAUGUCUACACUUAUCAUAUUGUUUCUGCUAAUCCAGUAGUGUUCAGGAACCAUUGCAUUCCUUUAGCUAAGAGAACUUCAUGUUUAAGUCACCAUGUUGGUUUGCUUGUAGUCUCCUAUUAAUCUUCCCUAAUGGUUGCGCUUAUCUCAUCAUGCUAAUCUAAUUACUUAGAUAAAGAGCCUUAGAUAGUAGUCAUGCUUGGUCUAUAUUGAUUAUGUCUAGCUGAAAAAUAAAAAAAUGGCUUGGAUGUUAUCAUGAUAAUCUAAUAAAGGUAUGGGUACAUCUUAACCUUGGGUAUCACAGUAUUCCUACUUGUCAAUUUAAAAUGAUGUUAUGCAUUCAUCUACCUAUUUCGUUUUGGCCAUUUAUGUUUGGUUUUUUAUGAUCGUGUGAUGUCUGAGACAUUAUUCGGGAGGACUUCCCUUGUCAAUUUCAGUAACUGCUCACUUUGGUAACCUAAUAGCUUGACUGAAUGUUGUUGAACAUGUACUAUGCCUGUAGGAUCUCAAAUGGAAGGUUUUGAUGGUAUGCUAUAAUCUCGUAUUUUAGUCACUUAUUGUACUUUAAUGCACUGUACAUUAUUCAUGUUUGAUCUUGAAUUGGUAGUGUUUUGUACUUAUUGUGUAUUUUAUUUCUUGUAGAAGUGCUUCUGAGCUAUGUAGAUGUUGUGGAGCUAAUCCGAGCUAUUUGGAGAUUUAAAGUUUGAGUAAAUGCCCAAAGGAUUCAGCCGAGAUCGUGUUCGGGGGGUCGAGGACCAAGUUUGGAUGUCAAAAAAUGAGAAAACAAAAUUACUCUAAGAAAAUUACACUACCGCCUCGCGCCAUGCGUAGCGGGACGCUAGUUCAAAAUUCCUGUAAAGUAAAAAAAUCAGCUCUCUAGAUUUCCCCACUAAUGUCCCGCAUGGUGCGUCGCCCCAUGCGGCGCGCCUGUGUAAUAUUUACAGAGUUAUUUUCCUAUUUCGGCUAGGAGAAGGUGGUUUAGUCUGGGCCCGACCCUACUUGGUAUAAAUAUAUGGAAAAAUAUUAAUUUCUUGUCUUUUUGACAUACUUUAGACCUAAGGGGGCUAAGGAGGAGUUGUAAGAACACAAGCACAAGGAUUUAAUCAUUCCUUCCUCACUCAAGACCCGAGUUUGGAUCGAAUUUAUGUUUUCCUAUACUUUAAUUUAAUUUGUAAUGAAUUACUCCAUAUCUAUGGAGUAGUUCUCUUUAGGAUUUGCUGGAUUUUGUGUAUUGAUGAUUGUUUGUGGAUUAUAACUCNNN
rnacentral:lncRNA from 1 species